ensembl:misc_RNA
GCAGACGAGCCCGGGUGGCCCAGCGUGUACCGGGAAGGGGGCGGGGCUAGAUGCGGCCUUGACAUCUACUAGAGCGCCUCGGGCUGUGCGGCUCGAGACUACAUUUCCCAGGGGGGGCCCGCGCGGAGCGGGCGGAAAAGAGAACGCCUCGGAUCCAGUGCGCAGGUGCGAGAGCCAUCCUUGGUUAUAUAAGGGAGGU